rnacentral:lncRNA from 1 species
GAGGGUGUCGCGUGACUCGUUAGUAAAAUAGUGGGAGCAUAUUAAGAUAGAAGUCCAUAUCUUAAUAGUUUAUUUCUUGCAAAAUCUACAUGUUAUUCAUUUCUGCUGCAUCUUUAUUUUCAGAAAAUGUCGCUUUCAAAUCCCUUACGUUGCAUACUUGAUGUCAACCGCCUCAUUGGUCCAAAUUAUACGGAUUGGCUCCGUAACUUGAGAAUUGUUCUCACAGCGGAGAAAAUCGUGUACGUCCUUGAUACGGUGAUGCCUAAGCCCGAAAAAGGGGCAAGCGAGGAUGAGAUCGCUCGCUACGUGAAGUACAUUGAUGACUCCACUCUUGCU